rnacentral:lncRNA from 1 species
AGGGAAUGACAUUCCUCCAUAGCACCGACAUACGAUCUCACGGGAACCUCAAGUCAAGUAACUGUGUGGUCGACAAUAGAUGGGUGUUAAAAAUAACUGAUUACGGAAUACCAGAUAUCAGGUCGAGACAGGCAAGAUACAUGGGGCCCGAUAACGAGGAUAAAAAAUUUAGAGGUACAAUUUCUACCUGUUAUCACUGGACCGAGAGAAAAAGACCCUUCCUGGACCUAUAAAGAGAAUUGUUUAUAACUGCACUGAACCAAUGAGCGAUGACCUUUGCUGGACCUAUCCAGUAUAAAUAAAAUUAGUUUAGUUUAGGUUUCCUCCUGUAGUAACACUGGAUCAAUAAGAGACGAUCCUUACUGGACCUCUAGGAAGAACAGUUUAGAACUGAUAGAGAUAUCUAGUAUAAAUAAAGUUAGUUUAGUUUUGUGUGAAUGAGGUUCCCUUUCAAAACUUAAUAAAAACUUAUCAAGGAAUAACUGUGUAUGUCAAUGGUCCGCCAAGACAUUUGCCAAUCUAUAGGUAAUUCACUUGUUUAUUUGCAGACUUAUUGUGGAAGGCACCAGAACUUUUAAGAGAUCCAGAUCCCCCGCCAUGUGGCACCCGUAAAGGAGAUGUAUACAGCUUUUCCAUAGUUUUGGAGGAAUUUCAUACUUUAAAAUCACCUUAUUCGAACAGCGAUAUUUCUGCUAGAAGUA